CGCCAAGAGGGUAGAACCCCAAGGGGCCGGCUGGCGCCCCUCAUCAGGAAAUUAGCUACUUGGAAUAAAAUCUGGCAUGCCUCAGGUUUCCAGGGGAGAAGGGGCUCCCUUCGGCUGCCUCCACGUGUGCUUAAGUCU
rfam:Camelus ferus unplaced genomic scaffold scaffold83, whole genome shotgun sequence.